AUACGGAGGAUCCGAGCGUUAUCCGGAUUUAUUGGGUUUAAAGGGUGCGCAGGCGGCCAUUUAAGUCAGCGGUUAAAUCGUGGGGCUCAACCCCAUUCUGCCGUUGAUACUGGGUGGCUUGAUUGCGGUCGAGGUUGGCGGAAUUCGUUGUGUAGCGGUGAAAUGCAUAGAUAUGACGAAGAACACCGAUUGCGUAGGCAGCUGACCAGACCGCAAAUGACGCUCAUGCACGAAAGUACGGGGAUCGAACAGGAUUAGAUACCCUGGUAGUCCGCACAGUAAACGAUGAAUACUUGUUUUCGGCGAUAUAAUGUCGGAGGCAAAGCGAAAGCGAUAAGUAUUCCACCUGGGGAGUACGCCGGCAACGGUGAAACUCAAAGGAAUUGACGGGG
rnacentral:rRNA from 1 species